AAUUCUUCCCAGUCCUCUAAGCUCCGGCCCUAGGCCGGUCUGCUCCGUUCAUCGGACCUCCGUGCUCAGCCUCACGCGCCGUCACCAACUCCGCCACACACGGCGGUCGGGAUCCGAAAAGCUUCGCUUUUCUCGGCGAAUCUAAAAAGUACUUCUUUCUCCUCUGUUUUUCAAUGUAUUAUAUGUAGAUUGCUUGCAAUAAAAUAAAAAAAUAAAAUAAAAGUAGAAAGAGAACAAUAGAUCACCUUCGUUUCUCGUGAAAUCUUUCUGGUAUAUUAUUGCGAAAAUAUUUGGUGUACAAUAUCUUUGUGGUGUAUCUCUGGUGUUUUUCUCUGUGUGUGUGUAUAAAAAUCUUUGCGUGUGUAAGUGUGUAAAUCUCUGCCUAUGUAUGUAAGUGUGUAAAUCCCUACCUAUGUGUGUAAAAAACGUAAGUCUCCUCUAUGUGUGUAAAAAACGUAAGUCUCCCCCCCUCUUUGCAGGUUUCAAGAAGGCUUUAUAGCAUGGAAGCUGUUCUGUUUUGGAAAGAAAUCUUAAAUUUCUUUCCAUAUCUGUUUAGGUCUAUCUGCUGAUUUUAUUUGUUUUGAUUUCCUUCCAUUUCUUGUAGGUGACCGCGAAAAUCACGAUGGUUGCUGGCGUGGACUCGUGCUGACGAUGAUUCGGCACGAUCAAUGGAAAUGGCCCUAACACGGUGCUGAAAUUUCGGCCCACUGGUGGAGGCGUGAUCGGUGGCCGAGCUGAAGGGUCGUGGUGCGUUGAAGGGCCUGUGACAAUGCAUUGAUGACCUGCGGCAGAGCAUUGAUAGCCAUCUCGAUUUUGGAGAACUGGACAGACGCUCCCCGAAUCUUCCAAAAGCAGUGGCGGCUCGAGGAGAAAAAUGGCAGAAACCCUUGGGUUUUUUGCGUUGUUGUAAUAGGCUGGGCCAGUUGGGACGCUUUAGUCCUGGGCUAAUUGUAUAACGAGUUUAAGUGUGGGUUUAGUUUAAGUUUGGGUUUGAAAAUUAUUGGGCUGAGUGGGUAAUGGUCUGAGGUUUUAAGUAUUUGGGCCACAAACACUUGGGCUUUUGUAAACUGGAUUGUAAUAAAUAAACACUUAUUUAUUGCUA
rnacentral:lncRNA from 1 species